UAUAUACUCCCUCCGUCCGGAAAUACUGGUCGGACGAAUGGAUGUAUCUAGAUAUAUUUUAAUUUUAGAUACAUUUAUUUUUAUGCAUUUCUUCGACAAAUAUUUCCGGGCGGAGUGAUAGAAG
rnacentral:pre_miRNA from 1 species